AGAGUUAAAUAGUACGUGAAAUUGUUGAAAGGGAAACGAUUGAAGUCAGUCAUGCUUGCAGGGAAUCAGCAUGGUGGUUUUCUUCCUUGUGUACUUCCUUGCUUAGCAGGUUAGCAUCAAUUUUGAUUGUUAUUAAAGAACUGGGGGAAUGUGACUUCUUCGGGAGUGUUAUAGACCCUGGUAGAUGUGACGAUCGGGAUUGAGGAUUGCAGCGAAUGUUUCUUGGCUAGUCACCUGGCUUCUGACGGUUACCUUGCUUCCGAUAGCUUGCUAACGGUGGCGAGAUUUGAUUGUCUAGAUGUUGGAGUGAUCAUAAAUUCGCUAAGGACGUUGGCGUAAUGGCUUUAAACGACC
rnacentral:rRNA from 1 species